CCUACGGGUGGCAGCAGUGGGGAAUAUUGCACAAUGGGGGAAACCCUGAUGCAGCGACGCCGCGUGAAGGAAGAAGUAUUUCGGUAUGUAAACUUCUAUCAGCAGGGAAGAAAAUGACGGUACCUGACUAAGAAGCCCCGGAUAACUACGUGCCAGCAGCCGCGGUAAUACGUAGGGGGCAAGCGUUAUCCGGAUUUACUGGGUGUAAAGGGAGCGUAGGUGGUUUAGCAAGUCAGAAGUGAAAGCCCGGGGCUCAACUGCGGGACUGCUUUUGAAACUGUUGAACUAGAGUGCAGGAGAGGUAAGUGGAAUUCCUAGUGUAGCGGUGAAAUGCGUAGAUAUUAGGCGGAACACCAGUGGCGAAGGCGGCUUACUGGACUGUAAAUGACGCUGAGGCUCGAAAGCGUGGGGAGCAAACAGGAUUAGAUACCCGGGUAGUC
rnacentral:rRNA from 1 species